rnacentral:ncRNA from 2 species
UUCUUAUUCAGAGAGGUGGAGGGAAUUGGCCCUUUGAUACCUCGGCAGCGGACUUUUAUAGUACUGUGCCAAAUCCAACAAGCAACAGCUUGGAAAAUAAGAA